AAAAGGAGACACAUAUGGGUAAGAUUUAUAGAUAAAUCCGUACACGCGUUUAUAUAAAAUAGUGAACCCUCCGGUGAAAUUUUCAAAACCUGGCGCCUGUGUAUAUGAUUAUGAUAUUACUGUUUCGGCUAUAGUUUUAGGUUUAAAAAUGGAUUCCGUGAGACAUUGUAAUAAUUGUACCUACACCUAUUAUACACGUUUGCUCUGUGCAAUUACUAACCUUAACGGUCACACGGCGAAAAGAAAAUUUAUGCAAUCGGGUCAAGUAUGUUACAUAAUGAUAUGGGCGUAUUACACUCCAGCGUGUGUACGCCGCAGCGUCGGUGUGGGUGUAAAUAAAUGGCGACUGGGUCCAAGUGCUGAUGCUGCUGCGAACGGUGUCACGCUCGAUCUCGCCGGCACAGUAAUUCGUCCCUCUCGCGAAACCCUAGCGCCCGUUCGACGAAACCUCUCUCCGCGAGCAACGUCCAAAUGGUCUCGCCGUCACUCGAAAGAAAUAAAAUCCCGAGUACGCAAUUUUCAUUAUAAUCGUAUACGCUGUUAUUACAUUUUGCUAAGCCGCGAAAUUCGCGUUCUCCUCUCGAGGAUUCCAAUUAUUGUUACACGUUUUGCCAGCGGCGUUCUCCGGGAUAUUUUUAACGGGCAAGAGUGUGGCAGGGCGCUAGACUGAAAAACCUCGGUUUAAACAAAAAUUGUUUCGCAAAACACACAACUAUACGCAGUGGGUAAAAUGACGUGUACUUGGUCCAAUAAGAAGUGCAAAUAAUGCGCAAUUGUUAUUAUUUUUUAUUAGUAAUAAUUUCUCAACGCUAAGUGGGUGACAAUAUUAUUUCGUAUAGUUUUGUAUUUAACACGACCAGGAUGGGGGGGGGGGUUGUCAUAGAAUUUCUCUUAGCACUUUCCGAAUAAAAUCUAAAUUGACAGAAACCGUUAUU